AGAUUCUAAACAAAUUAUUUUCUAUAAACUUGCAAUUUAUUAUUUUUAAAGUAAACUAUAAAAUC
rnacentral:tRNA from 1 species